UACGUAGGCGGCAAGCGUUGUCCGGAUUUACUGGGCGUAAAGAGCGCGCAGGCGGUCGUUCAAGUCGCGUGUGAAAGCCCCCGGCUCAACUGGGGAGGGUCACGCGAUACUGAUCGACUCGAAGGCAGGAGAGGGUAGUGGAAUUCCCGGUGUAGUGGUGAAAUUCGUAGAUAUUGGGAAGAACACCGGUGGCGAAGGCGGCGACCUGGUCCUUUUACUGACGCUGAGGCGCGAAAGCGUGGGGAGCAAACAGG
rnacentral:rRNA from 1 species